rnacentral:misc_RNA from 1 species
AAUCUUCAACCUAUAAACCUUUGCGGGUUUGUAGGCUUGGAUUUGGAGGCUUGUCGGCCUAACGGUCGGCUCCUCUUAAAUGCAUUAGCUUGAUUCCUUGCGGAUCGGCUCUCGGUGUGAUAAUUGUCUACGCCGCGACCGUGAAGCGUUUGGCGAGCUUCUAAUCGUCUCUUAUGAGACAACACAUUGACCU